ACCCUUUCCCUACACGACGCGCUUCCGAUCUGGCCGAGGGGGAGUUGCUUUAUGUUCACAGGAUAGACUGGACAGGAAGGGGCGGGGCAAGAGCAAAAAAGAUCAGAUGUUGUCCAUGUGUACAGCCCUCUCUGUACACCAUGCACACACACAUACACA